AUAGUUCCACGACAGGACAAUAACAUGAUCAUGAAGGUGGGUUUCACAGGAGGGGGUUGAUCCAUUUCACUGUGGAUGUGCUGACCCUGAGAGUUCUCCCAAAGUGGGAAACUCAACUUCAUAAGUCAUGGUAAUGAAAACCGUGCUCACACUCUCCCAU
rnacentral:snRNA from 1 species